rnacentral:rRNA from 1 species
UACAGAGGGGGCGAGCGUUGUUCGGAAUUACUGGGCGUAAAGGGCGCGUAGGCGGCCAACUAAGUCAGACGUGAAAUCCCUCGGCUUAACCGGGGAACUGCGUCUGAUACUGGAUGGCUUGAAUCCGGGAGAGGGAUGCGGAAUUCCAGGUGUAGCGGUGAAAUGCGUAGAUAUCUGGAGGAACACCGGUGGCGAAGGCGGCAUCCUGGACCGGCAUUGACGCUGAGGAGCGAAAGCCAGGGGAGCAAAGCGGG